AUGAUGGAAAAAGCAAGAGAGUUCCAGAAAAACAUCUAUUUCUGCUUUUUUGACUAUGCCAAAGCCUUUGACUGUGUGGAUCACAAUAAACUAUGGAAAAUUCUGAAAGAGAUGGGAAUACCAGACCACCACCUGACCUGCCUCUUGAGAAAUCUGUAUGCAGGUCAGGAAACAACAGUUGGAAGUGGACAUGGAACAACAGACUGGUUCCAAAUAGGAAAGGAAGUAUGUCAAGGCUGUAUAUUGUCACCCUGCUUAUUUAACUUCUAUGCAGAGUACAUCAUGAGAAAUGCUGGACUGGAAGAAGCACAAGCUGGAAUCAAGAUUGCCAGGAGAAAUAUCAAUAAACUCAGCUAUGCAGAUGACACCACCCAUAUGGCAGAAAGCAAAGAAGAACUAAAGAGCCUCUUGAUGAAAGUGAAAGAGGAGAGUGAAAAAGUUGGCUUAAAACUCAACAUUCAGAAAACUAAGAUCAUGGCAUCUGGUCCCAUCACUUCAUGGGAAAUAGAUGGGGGAAGAGUGGAAACAGUGUCAGUCUUUAUUUUGUGGGGCUCCAAAAUCACUGCAGAUGGUGACUGCAGCCAUGAAAUUAAAAGAUGCUUACUCCUUGGAAGAAAAGUUAUGACCAACCUAGAUAGUAUAUUCAAAAGCAGAGACAUUUCUUUGCUGACUAAGGUCUGUCUAAUCAAGGCUAUGGUUUUUCCUGUGGUCAUGUAUGGAUGUGAGAGUUGGACUGUGAAGAAGGCUGAGCACCGAAGAAUUGAUGCUUUUGAACUGUGGUGUUGGAGAAGACUCUUGAGAGUCCCUUGGACUGCAAGGAGAUCCAACCUGUCCAUUCUGAAGGAGAUCAACCCUGGGAUUUCUUUGGAAGUAAUGAUGCUAAAACUGAAGCUCCAGUAUGGCCACCUCAUGCAAAGAGUUGCCUCAUUGGAAAAGACUCUGAUGCUGGGAGGGAUUGGGGGCAGGAGGAGAAGGGGACGACAGAGGAUGAGAUGGCUGGAUGGCAUCACUGACUUGAUGGACUUGAGUCUGAGUGAAUUCCGGGAGAUGGUGAUGGACAGGGAGCCCUGGUGUACUGCAAUUCAUGGGGUCGCAAAGAGUUGGACACAACUGAGUGACUGA
rnacentral:lncRNA from 1 species